rnacentral:rRNA from 1 species
ACGAACGCUGGCGGCGUGCUUAACACAUGCCAGUCGAACGGAAAGGCCCUGCUUUUGUGGGGUGCUCGAGUGGCGAACGGGUGAGUAUCACGUGAGUAACCUGCCCUUGACUUUGGGAUAACUUCAGGAAACUGGGGCUAAUACCGGAUAGGAGCUCCUGCUGCAUGGUGGGGGUUGGAAAGUUUCGGCGGUUGGGGAUGGACUCGCGGCUUAUCAGCUUGUUGGUGGGGUAGUGGCUUACCAAGGCUUUGACGGGUAGCCGGCCUGAGAGGGUGACCGGCCACAUGGGGACUGAGAUACGGCCCAGACUCCUACGGGAGGCAGCAGUGGGGAAUAUUGCACAAUGGGCGGAAGCCUGAUGCAGCAACGCCGCGUGCGGGAUGACGGCCUUCGGGUUGUAAACCGCUUUCGCCUGUGACGAAGCGUGAGUGACGGUAUGGGUAAAGAAGCACCGGCUAACUACGUG